rnacentral:rRNA from 1 species
AGAGACAGCAGUCGCCACGGUAAUACAGAGGGUGCGAGCGUUAAUCGGAUUUACUGGGCGUAAAGCGUGCGUAGGCGGCUUUUUAAGUCGGAUGUGAAAUCCCUUAGCUUAACUUAGGAAUUGCAUUCGAUACUGGGAAGCUAGAGUAUGGGAGAGGAUGGUAGAAUUCCAGGUGUAGCGGUGAAAUGCGUAGAGAUCUGGAGGAAUACCGAUGGCGAAGGCAGCCAUCUGGCCUAAUACUGACGCUGAGGUACGAAAGCAUGGGGAGCAAACAGGAUUAGAUACCCCAGUAGUCCCUGUCUCUUAUAA